rnacentral:rRNA from 1 species
CCUACGGGAGGCAGCAGUAAGGAAUAUUGGUCAAUGGAGGCAACUCUGAACCAGCCAUGCCGCGUGCAGGAAGACUGCCCUAUGGGUUGUAAACUGCUUUUAUCCGGGAAUAAACCUGCUUACGUGUAAGUAGCUGAAUGUACCGGAAGAAUAAGGAUCGGCUAACUCCGUGCCAGCAGCCGCGGUAAUACGGAGGAUCCAAGCGUUAUCCGGAUUUAUUGGGUUUAAAGGGUGCGUAGGCGGCCUGUUAAGUCAGGGGUGAAAGACGGUAGCUCAACUAUCGCAGUGCCCUUGAUACUGAUGGGCUUGAAUGGACUAGAGGUAGGCGGAAUGAGACAAGUAGCGGUGAAAUGCAUAGAUAUGUCUCAGAACACCGAUUGCGAAGGCAGCUUACUAUGGUCUUAUUGACGCUG